rnacentral:rRNA from 1 species
UACGGAGGAUGCAAGCGUUAUCCGGAUUUAUUGGGUUUAAAGGGUGCGCAGGCGGAUUGGUAAGUCAGUGGUGAAAGCCCCCGGCUCAACUGGGGAAUUGCCAUUGAUACUGUCAAUCUAGAGUACAGUUGAAGUGGGCGGAAUGUAGCAUGUAGCGGUGAAAUGCUUAGAUAUGCUACAGAACACCGAUUGCGAAGGCAGCUCACUAAGCUGAAACUGACGCUCAGGCACGAAAGCGUGGGGAGCAAACAGGAUUAGAUACCCUGGUAGUCCACGCUGUAAACUAUGAUCACUCGUUGUUGGCGAUAUACUGUCAGCGACUGAGCGAAAGUAUUAAGUGAUCCACCUGGGAAGUACGAUCGCAAGGUUGAA